rnacentral:misc_RNA from 1 species
AAAGUCGUAACAAGGUUUCCGUAGGUGAACCUGCGGAAGGAUCAUUAUCAAAGUACAGCGGACUUCGGUCCUGUCUGCACCCGUGUUUUUGCGUACCUCCCGUUUCCUUGGUGGGCUUGCCCACCAACAGGACACACCACAACCACUUGCAAUUGCAAUCAGCGUCAGAAAAACUAUAAUAAUUACAACUUUCAACAACGGAUCUCUUGGUUCUG